UCUUUCGGGAUCUACAGAGCGGCGUACGGGUGCGGAAGACGGGUGCAACCUGCCUUUAUCAGGGGGAUAGCCUUUCGAAAGGAAGAUUAAUACCCCAUAAUAUUUAGAAUGGCAUCGUUUUAAAUUGAAAACUCCGGUGGAUAGAGAUGGGCGACCGCAAGAUUAGAUAGUUGGUGAGGUAACGGCUCACCAAGUCUGCGAUCUUUAGGGGGCUUGAGAGGGUGAUCCCCCACACUGGUACUGAGACACGGACCAGACUCCUACGGGAGGCAGCAGUGAGGAAUAUUGGACAAUGGGUGAGAGCCUGAUCCAGCCAUCCCGCGUGAAGGACGACGGCCCUAUGGGUUGUAAACUUCUUUUGUACAGGGAUAAACCUACCCUCGUGAGGGUAGCUGAAGGUACUGUACGAAUAAGCACCGGCUAACUCCGUGCCAGCAGCCGCGGUAAUACGGAGGGUGCAAGCGUUAUCCGGAUUUAUUGGGUUUAAAGGGUCCGUAGGCGGAUGUGUAAGUCAGUGGUGAAAUCUCACAGCUUAACUGUGAAACUGCCAUUGAUACUGCAUGUCUUGA
rnacentral:rRNA from 1 species